ACUACUCAGCCAUAAAAAAGAAUGAAAUAAUGUCUUUUGCAGCAACUUCGAUGGAACUAGAAGCCAUUAUCCAAACUGAAAACUCAGAAACAGUAAACCAAAUAACACAUGUUCUUUCUUAUAAGUGGGAGUCAUCAACUCAGAAGACGAUUUCUAUGACCAAAUUUGGUGGAGGGUUUCUUCCCACCAGCAAGUGACCAAUCACUUCUGCUGCGGACAAGAAGUGGGUGUCUGCCAAUUCAAUUCCAACACUGUCUGUGUGGAGAUAGUGUCAGAUCAAUCCCACAGGUUGGGGACUCAGUUACCGAACUGUCCCCCCUUCAAAUACCAGUUGCAAGUCUGGGCCUCUGGAACUUCUGACCAACCGAGUGAAAUUCCACAACUACCUAUACAAAGAAGUACCUUUAGAAGAACCAGAGAUCAGGUGUGAGUGAUCACUGUGCCUACCAUAACAUUAUAUCAAGGGAAGAGGCAUUGAAGAGGACAGAGUGUUGCGUUGCCUACAAGAAAUGCUAAAAGGAGUUCUUCAAUAUGAAAGAAAAGGAUGUUAAA